GCCUGGCUGGCUCAGUCAGUACAGCAUGCGACUCUAGAUCCUGGGGUCAUGAGUUCGAGCCCCAUGUUAGGCA
rfam:Felis catus isolate Cinnamon breed Abyssinian chromosome D1, whole genome shotgun sequence.